GACGAAGGAUGCAAGCGUUAUCCGGAUUCAUUGGGUUUAAAGGGAGCGUAGGCGGAUUUGUAAGUCAGUGGUGAAAUCUUUGGGCUUAACCCAGAAACUGCCAUUGAUACUGCAGAUCUAGAGUACAGUUGCCGUUGGCGAAAUAUGACAUGUAGUGGUGAAAUACUUAGAUAUGUCAUAGAACACCGAUUGCGAAGGCAGCUAACGAAGCUGUAACUGACGCUGAGGCUCGAAAGUGCGGGGAUCAAACAGG
rnacentral:rRNA from 1 species